rnacentral:rRNA from 1 species
UAGGGAAUCUUCCACAAUGGACGCAAGUCUGAUGGAGCAACGCCGCGUGAGUGAAGAAGGUUUUCGGACCGUAAAGCUCUGUUGUUGGUGAAGAAGGAUAGAGGUAGUAACUGGCCCUUUAUUUGACGGUAAUCAACCAGAAAGUCACGGCUAACUACGUGCCAGCAGCCGCGGUAAUCGUAGGUGGCAAGCGUUGUCCGGAUUUAUUGGGCGUAAAGCGAGCGCAGGCGGAAGAAUAAGUCUGAUGUGAAAGCCCUCGGCUUAACCGAGGAAUUGCAUCGGAAACUGUUUUCUUGAGUGCAGAAGAGGAGAGUAGAACUCCAUGUGUAGCGGUGGAAUGCGUAGAUAUAUGGAAGAAUACCAGUGGCGAAGGCGGCUCUCUGGUCUGCAACUGACGCUGAGGCUCGAAAGCAUGGGUAGCGAACAGGAUUAGAUACCCUGGUAGUCCAUGCCGUAAACGAUGAGUGCUAAGUGUUGGGAGGCUUCCGCCUCUCAGUGCUGCAGCUAACGCAUUAAGCACUCCGCCUGGGGGAGUACGACCGCAAGGUUGAAAC